rnacentral:rRNA from 1 species
GACGAACGCUGGCGGCGUGCUUAACACAUGCAAGUCGAACGAAGUGGCGAACGGGUGAGUAACGCGUAAUCAACCUGCCCUUCCGAGGGGGACAACAGUUGGAAACGACUGCUAAUACCGCAUACUGAAGGAGGGGAUUGCGUCUGAUUAGCUAGUUGGGGGGGUAAAGGCACGCCAAGGCGAUGAUCAGUAGCCUGUCUGAGAGGGUGAACGGCCACAUUGGGACUGAGACACGGCCCAGAUUCCUACGGGAGGCAGCAGUGGGGAAUGUUCCGUAAAUGACGGAAUUCUGACUGAGCAACGCCGCGUGCGUGAUGACGGCCUUCGGGUUGUAAAGCUCUGUUAAUCGGGACGCGGUACCGGAAUAGAAAGCCACGGCUAACUACGUGCCAGCAGCCGCGGUAAUAC